rnacentral:tRNA from 1 species
UGCCUCAUCGUCUAAUGGUAGGACAGCAGACUCUGACUCUGUUAAUCGUGGUUCGAAUCCAUGUGAGGCAG